rnacentral:rRNA from 1 species
CAAUGGCCCAGGAUCAUAGGGUUUCCGAGAGAAGGUCCCCACUGGACUGAACCGGUCCAAUCCUACGGAGCAGCAUUAGGAUCUGGUCAAUGACGAGCUUGACAGCAGUAGCUGCAGAUGACGCCUAUGGGUGUAACUGCUUUAUACAGGGAUAAAUUGAGGGUACGUGUCCCGUUUGCUAGGUACUUAUGAUACGACUGCCUAAUCGUGCCAGCAGCGCGUAAUACGGAAGGUCAGGUCGUCAUCGGAAUUUAUUGGGUUUAAAGGGAGCGUCAGGCUGAUGAUUAAGUCGUGACGUGAAAUGUAGCCGCUCAACAUGCUGAACUGCAGUCGCGAACUGGUUAUCUGAGUGAGUUCGAUGUCGGCGGAAUUCGUGGUGUAGCGGUGAAAUGCUUAGAUAUCACGAAGAACUCCGAUUGCGAAGGCAGCCAACAAAGCGCUUACUGACGCUAAAGCUCGAAGGUGCGGGUAUCGAACAGGAUUAGAUACCCUGGUAGUCCGCACGGUAAACGAUGGAUGCCCGCUGUCUGCGAUAUACUGUGAGCGGCCAAGAGAAAUCGUUAAGCAUCCCACCUGGGGAGUACGCCGGCAACGGUGAAACUCAAAGGAAUUGACGGGGGCCCGCACAAGCGGAGGAACAUGUGGUUUAAUUCGAUGAUACGCGAGGAACCUUACCCGGGCUUGAACUGCAGGAGAACGAUACAGAGAUGUUGAGGCCCUUCGGGGCUCCUGUGGAGGUGCUGCAUGGUUGUCGUCAGCUCGUGCCGUGAGGUGUCGGCUUAAGUGCCAUAACGAGCGCAACCCUUUUCAUUAGUUGCCAUCAGGUAAUGCUGGGCACUCUGGUGAUACUGCCACCGUAAGGUGUGAGGAAGGUGGGGAUGACGUCAAAUCAGCACGGCCCUUACGUCCGGGGCUACACACGUGUUACAAUGGGGGGUACAGAAGGCGGGAUCAAUGCAAAUUGGUUCAAAUCCUAAAAGCCCUCCUCAGUUCGGAUUGGGGUCUGUAACCCGACCCCAUGAAGCUGGAUUCGCUAGUAAUCGCGCAUCAGCCAUGGCGCGGUGAAUACGUUCCCGGGCCUUGUACACACCGCCCGUCAAGCCAUGAAAGCCGGGGGCGCUUGAAGUCCGUGACCGCAAGGAUCGGCCUAGAGCGAAACUGGUAAUUGGGGCUAAGUCGUAACAAGGUAAAUCACUGCCGUCGUACCCUC